GAGUCGUUUUACCUGUUUCGGAUGUCAUACUACUGGAGCAGCUUCUUUUGUGUUUUUGCAACAGUUGCCAUUGGCGUGUUGGUAAGCGCCUUGACAGGAGAAAUGUGGAGUGAAAACGAGAAACCGGAGUUGUGCAGUGAUUUGCUCGUCAGAAUAUGGCAGAAACGUACACACCUCCAAGACGAAUCGCCACUCGAGGAUAUGAAGAGAUCAAAUUUUGACGAACAAAAGUGCAUCGCAGAAGUUGAAAACUUGCUAAUGCCUAAAUCAGAGAGCCAUGUGUAGGUAAAAGUUGUGUACAUUAAAAAGGCACUGAGAAAG